rnacentral:lncRNA from 1 species
AUCACUGCAGUGGCCGCUCAGCAGAAUCCAGGGGGCUGCUUAAUGAGGGGUGAAGACAAUAUGGACUCGGAGAGGCGGCCGGUUGCCUUCUCACAGUUGAGAUGAGGAAGGGACUGGUGUCAGAAGGAACUGUUAAAAGUCAGAGUCCCUGCACACAGCCCUGGAUCAUUUAUUCGCUCAGUGGGAGACACCCCAGAACCAGAUGUCUGAGGUCAUGGAGUGUGCACUCUCGAAGAGAACAGAAAUGAAGAUCUGGUUGCUCAUGAUUUUGGUGUCUUAGCUAAGGCUCUAUUUCGAAGUCCACCAUUAGGAAGACCUACAAAAUACCCAGACAGCCAUUCCACCUUUCCUGCUAGCCCAGCUGACAUCCAGCCUGCCCUGGAAUCACAGUGUCCAGCUAACAGAGUCGCCUUGAAUGAGUAUUUUCCUUCCUUUCCACCCAGAACUUGGCACCCGUCCUCAUCUGCCUUGCAGGCCUGGAGCCUCGAGGCUAGAACAUGAGCUUCUCUGUGCCAUCCAAUUCCCCAAGGAGAAGAAGGUUAUUCCUUUGACGACCUCCGAGUAUCUUUCUUUUUGGGCAUCUUUUUUUCUUUUCCUUGAAUUAGGGGGUCCAAGUUACCUGAUCUUUUCAGCUGCUAAUCUAAACUUCCCACUUCCAGAAUGCACAGAUUCUAGAUCAAGGCCUCCACUGGAAUACUGCAGGUAUAAAUGCCCAAGAAACUGCAGCCCAGUUUCUACUCUACUGCUCUGACAAGCCCAGGGUGGGAAGAGGCUUGCUUUUUCUCCUCAAAAGUAUUCAAGUGUUCCUCAAGGUCUCAGCACAAGGGUGUCAAUGACUAUGCCACCCUUUAGCAAGCAGGCAAGCUGGGGAGUUGUUGUUGUUCUAAUGUGAUUAAAGGUACAAUAAGGUGUGUGUGUGUGUGUGUGUGUGUGUGUGUGUGUGCACAACCAGAGGCAAAGCCAUUGUUCUGCACCAUUAAGCUCACAGCAGUCUCCCAAAGAAAUUAUAGGCGGCUUGCCGAUGGCCCUAAUGAAGAGCAUCUCUUUGAAUUAUCUCUGGAUGAGGAUAGGAUCAAGCCAGAGCCUUAGAAUAUUUGAUCCUCUUUGUGCUGCUGUUAUGAAGGCUUACUGAAGCCAGACACCCUGGACUUUCUGGAACUGUAAUUUAUGGAAACCUCAAUUUCUCUGUUCUAAUAAGGUUUUGCAUAAUAAGGAUGAGGAUACAAUUACUAAUUCCUGCAAGAGGUUUUGUGAAUUCCUCUGUGCUAUGGUUUGGGUGCCCAAAGAAUAGGUGGAAGAAGGGACUUUACUUAGCUGACACAAGGGAAGUGGGUCCGAGAAGUAGUUUGGGCUCCCUGAAAAUAAAUCUGCAUGGUUCCUUAAGCUGCUGACAACAUGCACUUCAUGUGGAAGUCAUUUAUCAGCAACUCACCAAAUGAUACUUCAGACAGAAAUAGCCCCACAAAAUUUUACCUAGUUAAAACCAAACUGAACCCAGAUUCCUUCUUUUGGGACUGUAGUCUGCGCUUAAGAGCAUAAAUAAUAAGGUUGAAUGAAAAAUAAGUUGACACAGAUUUGUUGUGGAUAUCAUAAAGUUGACUUUGGGAAGGGGCUCACUCUCAUAGAUGUGUAUGAAGUUCACCUGAAUGGAAGCUACAUGGUAGCUUUGGUGCCAAACCAAAACAAGAACAGAGUUUUGAAAACUACCAUUUAACUUACUCCCUCUGCAGCAGCCAAGCCUAACCUAGCACACUGCUUAGCCAACGGUGUCUGCUAUUCAGCUCAUUUCACUUCUAAAUGUUUGGCUCAAAAAGAGAUUCCCCCAGAUCAUCAGGUAAACUGAGGGUUAGAACAUACCGCAUGAUGACAUGCGGGAUGGGGCCAGAUCGUCAGUGGUGGCAGUACUGAUGCUCAAGUCUUCCCAGACAUCCCUAGACUGCUGGGAACAAGGCAUGUGUCCCACUAAGUCCUGAGCAUGGGAUUGGAAGGCAAGGAUAUUUCUAAGACUUAAGAAGCUUGCUUUUAGCAAGUGAGACAAUUCAAAAAGCCUUAGAAUGCUUACAUUGAAUGCUUACAUCCUUUCUAUGCCUUACUGAAGAGAGCAGGCAGACAUACAGACAGACACACCUUUUAUUCACCCAGUAUCAUUAGGUUUUGUUCAGAGACACACAUUAAGCUGUCUUGCUGUGUCUUGCUAGGGACACCCGCCCUCUGGUGGCUCAUGUGAAAAUAACACCCAACGAACUGAUACAAUUCGUUUUAAAGUCAAGCUAGUUCUUUAAAAAGAAAAUAUAUUAAUUAGCCAUUUGUUGUUAUGAACUAAGAAACACGCACCCAUUUUUUUUCUUGACGCAAUGUUAUUCUCCUAUGAUGAUUAAAAAAAAAAACUU